UUGUGUUUGUUUAGUUUAAUGUUAAUCGUUUAAUGCUCACACAGCAGCAUGUUUUUUGUGUGUUUGGCUAUUGGUUUUAUAUGAUUUAUCAACGUGAUCAUCAAUAGCUAAUCUGAGCUAAUAAGCUAAUGGGAGAGGUGCUCCACACGAUGCCUCGACUACAAAGUCUUCCAUGUUUCUACGCUUCUUCCUCUGUGUCACAGUUUCGGGAAUAUCAAGAUCAUUACACAGGGCCUUGGUCUUGCUUUCUCGUCACUUCUGUAACUUUUCAGUGUGUUCUCAACUGCUGUUUUGUAAUUUACUGCCUGCACCAAGUCAAUUGUUUCUUUCUGCAGGUAUUUGUGCAGGCCCUGAGUGGUUGAGAGCAGUGUCUGGAACAGGACAAGCAUGUAGAUGGUACUGCAUUUGCAAAACUUGCUUUCCAGCCCCUUUGCCAGAGGGGCUGAAAGGCUCCCUAAAGUCUUGAUCAAAGCAGGGAGGUUUUUGACAUGCCCAGCGAACAAGUUAUUUGUCCCCUACCUCUAGCUGUUUCUGAAAUGUUUGCAAUCUCUAAUGGUGGAGAAGAAAGAGUAGAGACACUCCAGGAGAUCAACGCAGGAAAGUAAUCACCAACUGUGAGUGAUCUGUUGCCGAGGGGACACUACACCGGAGUUACAUAAGCAGAGGUGGAAGUGUUCGGCUAAAUCGCCUUGGUUUG